rnacentral:rRNA from 1 species
UACGGAGGAUGCAAGCGUUAUCCGGAUUUAUUGGGUUUAAAGGGUGCGUAGGCGGAUAAAUAAGUCAGUGGUGAAAGCCUGCAGCUUAACUGUAGAAUUGCCAUUGAUACUGUUUGUCUUGAGUACAGUUGAGGUGGGCGGAAUAUGGCAUGUAGCGGUGAAAUGCUUAGAUAUGCCAUAGAACACCGAUUGCGAAGGCAGCUCACUAAACUGUCACUGACGCUGAGGCACGAAAGCGGGGGUAGCAAACAGG